rnacentral:lncRNA from 1 species
CCAAGAAUACAAGUUUAUUUGUGAUCCCUUCAUCGGUUGAUGUCAAACUCUUCAAUGGGUACAUACCAAAAAAAUUAGUAAUAUAGUGAAGCAGCUAGCGGUGGGACUGUGGGGAGAGAUAUGGUGAAAGAGGUUGUGGCACUGAGGUUGACUAGAUCACCGUUUCGAGGAAGAAAGCUCAGUUUGAUUAUGUUUGGGGAGAGAUAUGGUGAAAGAGGUUGUGGCACUGAGGUUGACUAGAUCACCGUUUCGAGGAAGAAAGCUCAGUUUGAUUAUGUUUUCUUAAGCACACACUUUGAUCACAUCUUAAGAACGUCCUGUACUCGGACAAAAUUCAUAAGGUCAAAAAUUAACACAAAAAUUGCACAAAGAUUACGCAUC